AUGGACAACCAGCAGCUCUUUGGUUCCUCCUACGUGGACGCGCCUUUCUUCGCGGCCAAUGGCACGGCGCAGCGGGAGAGCCAGCCGAAGGCUCGGCGCAGGCGGCGGAAGGCCGCGAGAUGCGGCGGAGGGGAUGGUAACGGCGGGGAGAUGGACGGAGGAGGGGACCCCAAGAAGCGGCGGCUCACCGAUGAGCAGGCAGAGAUGCUGGAGCUGAGCUUCCGGGAGGAACGCAAGCUGGAGACUGGCCGGAAGGUGUAUCUGGCCGCCGAGCUCGGGCUCGACCCCAAGCAGGUCGCCGUGUGGUUCCAGAACCGCCGGGCGCGCCACAAGAGCAAGACGCUCGAGCAGGAGUUCACCAGGCUCAAGCACGCUCACGACGCAGACAUCCUCCACAAAUGCCACCUCCAGAACGAGGUGCUGAGGCUGAAGGAGAGGCUGAGAGCGACUGAGGAGGAGGUGCAGCGCCUCAGGUCGGCAGCUGGGAGCCACGGGGCAUCCGGCGAUGGCGGAGACGCCGCUGGCGCCGUUAGCGUGUGCGGCGGGAGCCCAGGCUCGUCCUUCUCGACGGGAACCUGGCAGCAGCAUCUGGGUUUCAGCGGGGCAAACGAGCUGGGGACGGACGAUGACCUGAUGAUGUGCGUACCCGACUGUUUUUUCGCAUGA
rnacentral:rRNA from 1 species